rnacentral:rRNA from 1 species
UACGUAGGGUGCGAGCGUUAAUCGGAAUUACUGGGCGUAAAGCGUGCGCAGGCGGCUUUUUAAGCCAGAUGUGAAAUCCCCGGGCUUAACCUGGGAACUGCAUUUGGAACUGGAAGGCUAGAGUGUAGCAGAGGGGGUAGAAUUCCGACGUGUAGCAGUGAAAUGCGUAGAGAUGUGGAGGAAUACCGAUGGCGAAGGCAGCCCCCUGGGCUAACACUGACGCUCAUGCACGAAAGCGUGGGGAGCAAACAGG